UACGUAGGGGGCAAGCGUUGUCCGGAAUCAUUGGGCGUAAAGCGCGUGUAGGCGGCCAGGUAAGUCCGUUCUGAAAGCCCGGGGCUCAACCCCGGGAGGCGGAUGGAUACUGCUUGGCUCGAGGCCGGAAGAGGCGAGUGGAAUUCCCGGUGUAGCGGUGAAAUGCGCAGAUAUCAGGAGGAACACCUACGGCGAAGGCAGCUCGCUGGGACGGUACUGACGCUGAGACGCGAAAGCGUGGGGAGCAAACAGG
rnacentral:rRNA from 1 species